GACGAACGCUGGCGGCGUGCUUAACACAUGCAAGUCGAACGGAAAGGCCCUGCUUGCAGGGUACUCGAGUGGCGAACGGGUGAGUAACACGUGGGUGAUCUGCCCUGCACUUCGGGAUAAGCCUGGGAAACUGGGUCUAAUACCGGAUAGGAGCCAUUUUUAGUGUGAUGGUUGGAAAGUUUUUUCGGUGUAGGAUGAGCUCGCGGCCUAUCAGCUUGUUGGUGGGGUAAUGGCCUACCAAGGCGGCGACGGGUAGCCGGCCUGAGAGGGUGGACGGCCACAUUGGGACUUAGAUACGGCCCAGACUCCUACGGGAGGCAGCAGUGGGGAAUAUUGCACAAUGGGCGCAAGCCUGAUGCAGCGACGCCGCGUGGGGGAUGACGGCCUUCGGGUUGUAAACUCCUUUCGCUAGGGACGAAGCUUUUUGUGACGGUACCUAGAGAAGAAGCACCGGCUAACUACGUG
rnacentral:rRNA from 1 species